GAUGAAGAACGCAGUGAAAUGCGAUAAUUAAUGUGAAUUGCAGAAUUCAGUGAAUCAUCGAGUCUUUGAACGCACAUUGCGCCCCCUGGUAUUCCGGGGGGCAUGCCUGUCCGAGCGUCAUUGCUGCCCUCUAGCACGGCUUGUGUGUUGGGCUUCCGUCCCUGGCAACGGGGACGGGCCCAAAAGGCAGUGGCGGCACCAUGUCUGGUCCUCGAGCGUAUGGGGCUUUGUCACCCGCUCCCGUAGGUCCAGCUGGCAGCUAGCCUCGCAACCAAUCUUUUUAACCAGGUUGACCUCGGAUCAGGUAGGGAUACCCGCUGAACUUAAGCAUAUCAAUAAGCGGAGGA
rnacentral:misc_RNA from 1 species